rnacentral:rRNA from 1 species
UUAAGCGACUAAGCGUACACGGUGGAUGCCUUGGCAGUCAGAGGCGAUGAAGGACGUGCUAAUCUGCGAUAAGCGUCGGUGAGGUGAUAUGAACCGUUAUAACCGGCGAUUUCCGAAUGGGGAAACCCAGUGUGUUUCGACACACUAUCAUUAACUGAAUCCAUAGGUUAAUGAGGCGAACCGGGGGAACUGAAACAUCUAAGUACCCCGAGGAAAAGAAAUCAACCGAGAUUCCCCCAGUAGCGGCGAGCGAACGGGGAGGAGCCCAGAGCCUGAAUCAGUGUGUGUGUUAGUGGAAGCGUCUGGAAAGGCGUGCGAUACAGGGUGACAGCCCCGUACACAAAAAUGCACAUAUUGUGAGCUCGAUGAGUAGGGCGGGACACGUGGUAUCCUGUCUGAAUAUGGGGGGACCAUCCUCCAAGGCUAAAUACUCCUGACUGACCGAUAGUGAACCAGUACCGUGAGGGAAAGGCGAAAAGAACCCCGGCGAGGGGAGUGAAAAAGAACCUGAAACCGUGUACGUACAAGCAGUGGGAGCCUCUUAAUGGGGUGACUGCGUACCUUUUGUAUAAUGGGUCAGCGACUUAUAUUCUGUAGCAAGGUUAACCGAAUAGGGGAGCCGAAGGGAAACCGAGUCUUAACUGGGCGUUAAGUUGCAGGGUAUAGACCCGAAACCCGGUGAUCUAGCCAUGGGCAGGUUGAAGGUUGGGUAACACUAACUGGAGGACCGAACCGACUAAUGUUGAAAAAUUAGCGGAUGACUUGUGGCUGGGGGUGAAAGGCCAAUCAAACCGGGAGAUAGCUGGUUCUCCCCGAAAGCUAUUUAGGUAGCGCCUCGUGAAUUCAUCUCCGGGGGUAGAGCACUGUUUCGGCAAGGGGGUCAUCCCGACUUACCAACCCGAUGCAAACUGCGAAUACCGGAGAAUGUUAUCACGGGAGACACACGGCGGGUGCUAACGUCCGUCGUGAAGAGGGAAACAACCCAGACCGCCAGCUAAGGUCCCAAAGUCAUGGUUAAGUGGGAAACGAUGUGGGAAGGCCCAGACAGCCAGGAUGUUGGCUUAGAAGCAGCCAUCAUUUAAAGAAAGCGUAAUAGCUCACUGGUCGAGUCGGCCUGCGCGGAAGAUGUAACGGGGCUAAACCAUGCACCGAAGCUGCGGCAGCGACACUAUGUGUUGUUGGGUAGGGGAGCGUUCUGUAAGCCUGUGAAGGUGGCCUGUGAGGGUUGCUGGAGGUAUCAGAAGUGCGAAUGCUGACAUAAGUAACGAUAAAGCGGGUGAAAAGCCCGCUCGCCGGAAGACCAAGGGUUACUGUCCAACGUUAAUCGGGGCAGGGUGAGUCGACCCCUAAGGCGAGGCCGAAAGGCGUAGUCGAUGGGAAACAGGUUAAUAUUCCUGUACUUGGUGUUACUGCGAAGGGGGGACGGAGAAGGCUAUGUUGGCCGGGCGACGGUUGUCCCGGUUUAAGCGUGUAGGCUGGUUUUCCAGGCAAAUCCGGAAAACCAAGGCUGAGGCGUGAUGACGAGGCACUACGGUGCUGAAGCGACAAAUGCCCUGCUUCCAGGAAAAGCCUCUAAGCAUCAGGUAACAUCAAAUCGUACCCCAAACCGACACAGGUGGUCAGGUAGAGAAUACCAAGGCGCUUGAGAGAACUCGGGUGAAGGAACUAGGCAAAAUGGUGCCGUAACUUCGGGAGAAGGCACGCUGAUAUGUAGGUGAAGCGACUUGCUCGUGGAGCUGAAAUCAGUCGAAGAUACCAGCUGGCUGCAACUGUUUAUUAAAAACACAGCACUGUGCAAACACGAAAGUGGACGUAUACGGUGUGACGCCUGCCCGGUGCCGGAAGGUUAAUUGAUGGGGUUAGCGGCAACGCGAAGCUCUUGAUCGAAGCCCCGGUAAACGGCGGCCGUAACUAUAACGGUCCUAAGGUAGCGAAAUUCCUUGUCGGGUAAGUUCCGACCUGCACGAAUGGCGUAAUGAUGGCCAGGCUGUCUCCACCCGAGACUCAGUGAAAUUGAACUCGCUGUGAAGAUGCAGUGUACCCGCGGCAAGACGGAAAGACCCCGUGAACCUUUACUAUAGCUUGACACUGAACAUUGAGCCUUGAUGUGUAGGAUAGGUGGGAGGCUUUGAAGUGUGGACGCCAGUCUGCAUGGAGCCGACCUUGAAAUACCACCCUUUAAUGUUUGAUGUUCUAACGUUGGCCCGUAAUCCGGGUUGCGGACAGUGUCUGGUGGGUAGUUUGACUGGGGCGGUCUCCUCCUAAAGAGUAACGGAGGAGCACGAAGGUUGGCUAAUCCUGGUCGGACAUCAGGAGGUUAGUGCAAUGGCAUAAGCCAGCUUGACUGCGAGCGUGACGGCGCGAGCAGGUGCGAAAGCAGGUCAUAGUGAUCCGGUGGUUCUGAAUGGAAGGGCCAUCGCUCAACGGAUAAAAGGUACUCCGGGGAUAACAGGCUGAUACCGCCCAAGAGUUCAUAUCGACGGCGGUGUUUGGCACCUCGAUGUCGGCUCAUCACAUCCUGGGGCUGAAGUAGGUCCCAAGGGUAUGGCUGUUCGCCAUUUAAAGUGGUACGCGAGCUGGGUUUAGAACGUCGUGAGACAGUUCGGUCCCUAUCUGCCGUGGGCGCUGGAGAACUGAGGGGGGCUGCUCCUAGUACGAGAGGACCGGAGUGGACGCAUCACUGGUGUUCGGGUUGUCAUGCCAAUGGCACUGCCCGGUAGCUAAAUGCGGAAGAGAUAAGUGCUGAAAGCAUCUAAGCACGAAACUUGCCCCGAGAUGAGUUCUCCCUGACUCCUUGAGAGUCCUGAAGGAACGUUGAAGACGACGACGUUGAUAGGCCGGGUGUGUAAGCGCAGCGAUGCGUUGAGCUAACCGGUACUAAUGAACCGUGAGGCUUAACCUU